rnacentral:tRNA from 1 species
UGAGGUGGCCGAGUUGGUUAUGGCGUUAGGUUAAGGCUACCUUAACAAGUAUUUAUCCUAAUGGGGCAACCCGCAUGGGUUCGAAUCCCAUCCUGCAA